GACGAACGCUGGCGGCGUGCUUAACACAUGCAAGUCGAACGGUAAGGCCCUUCGGGGUACACGAGUGGCGAACGGGUGAGUAACACGUGGGUGAUCUGCCCUGCACUUCGGGAUAAGCCGGGGAAACUGGGUCUAAUACCGGAUAGGACCCUGGGAUGCAUGUCCUGGGGUGGAAAGCUUUUGCGGUGUGGGAUGGGCCCGCGGCCUAUCAGCUUGUUGGUGGGGUGAUGGCCUACCAAGGCGACGACGGGUAGCCGGCCUGAGAGAGUGACCGGCCACACGGGGACUGAGAUACGGCCCAGACUCCUACGGGAGGCAGCAGUGGGGAAUAUUGCACAAUGGGCGCAAGCCUGAUGCAGCGACGCCGCGUGAGGGAUGACGACCUUCGGGUUGUAAACCUCUUUCAGUAGGGACGAAGCGCAAGUGACGGUACCUACAGAAGAAGGACCGGCCAACUACGUGCCAGCCGCCGCGGUAA
rnacentral:rRNA from 1 species